rnacentral:rRNA from 1 species
GCACGUAGUUAGCCGGYGCUUAUUCUUACGGUACCGUCAUUAGCCCUCUUUAUUGGAAAAGGCCGUUUCGUUCCGUACAAAAGCAGUUUACAACCCGAAGGCCUUCAUCCUGCACACGGCAUGGCUGGAUCAGGCUUGCGCCCAUUGUCCAAAAUUCCCCA